AUGCAAAGAACUUUGAAAAGAGAGUUAAAAAGUACCUGAAAUUGCUGAAAGGUAAGCGAAGGAAACCAGUGCUUAGUUUAGUCAUAUUUUUCUUGUUACUUGUAGCAAGGACGCUGUGGCUGGACGUUGGUCAAGAUCAAUUUUUUCUGGGGUAACAGUGUUGUCAGGAGGUAGCCCUUCGGGGUGUUUAACUGACUUCACCUAUCCUGGAUGAGAUUGAGGUAAGUCAUGUAAGUGCUCGUGAUCUUGACAAAAUGGUUUUCUUUACCCCGUCUUGAAACACGGACCAAGGAGUCUAACAUAUGUGCGAGUACAGAGGUGRCAAACCUCCGUGCGUAAUGAAAGUAACAGUGGUUGGACUCGUUUGAGGCACAAUCUGCCGGCCAUAAUCCUUCGGGAGAAAGGUCUGAGUGUGAGCAUAUAUGUUGGGACCCGAAAGAUGAUGAACUAUGCCUGAAUAGGGUGAAGCCAGGGGAAACUCUGGUGGAGGCUCGUAGCGAUUCUGACGUGCAAAUCGAUCGUCAAAUUCAGGUAUAGGGGCGAAAGACUAAUCGAAUCAUCUAGUAGCUGGUUCCCUCCGAAAUUUCCCUCAGGAUAGCUGCAAUCAAAUGUCAAUCUUAUCA
rnacentral:rRNA from 1 species